GGAGGGGUGGCAGAGCGGAUUAAUGCAACGGUCUUGAAAACCGUCCUCGGGCAACCGAGCGGGGGUUCGAAUCCCUCCCCCUCCGCCA
rnacentral:tRNA from 1 species